CCGAAUUGUCAACACGAGUUGUUGCUGGUCCUCAAACGGGGGCAUGUGCACGCUCUGUUUGUAUAUCCACUCACACCUGUGCACCUUCUGUAGUUCUGUGGCUGGGAGGGCUCUGUCCCCCUGCUGUGGUUCUACGUCUUUACACACACUCUGUAUAAAAGUUUCAUGGAAUGUACGCAGCGUUUAACGCAAUACAAUA
rnacentral:misc_RNA from 1 species